ensembl:lncRNA novel transcript
GUGCUGCAACUGAAGUUGUGAGUGAGAAAAAGUGCAGUGAAGGAACAAGGCAAGAAAAUGGAGUUUUAGAAACUACACAGUAAACGACUGCUGAUAAAUCGCAAUUUAUGAGAGGAUGAUGUGGCAAAAUGAUUUGAAAAUUGGAAGUGAUUUACUGCACAACUUAAAUAUUUUGUCUUAUCAUUACAGCAACUCUAUAAGGAUAAAGUGCCUCCCUUCAGCAGAUUGAGUAGGCGGUGAGUCCUAUUCUGGAGAAAAAAGUAAAUAUAAAGGCUGGGACUAUCAAUCAGAGAAAGACCUCUCCUCGAGAAGACUGGUCCAGGUGGACAGGAAGUAGAAUUUAUUGGGUCUCCGCAUCUGUAUUCACAUGGGACAGCCUUGAGCAGCACAGCUCAGACCUCAGCUCGGCUGGGACGUUGUAGAAGAAAGUAGAGUACCAGGAGGAGAAUGAAGUAGAUGAAUUCUAAGAUUCUACGCUCUCUAGUGGAGUGUUGUUUCCUAAAAAAUUAUCAGACCACACAUUCCACACAUGAAAAAUUCAUCAUACUUUGAAGAUAAUUAAAGUAAAUGUCAUCCAAUUUUAACCAAAUUUCUAUUCUACCACUAAAGGACAUGCAAAUGGCUUCUUUUAAAAAUAUAUAUAGCCAGAAUGGUUUUUGGCAAUAUAACAAUGAAAAAACUGAAACAUUUUGGGGGUAAUUAACUCAUGUUUUAGAUAUCUACCAUUAUUAAAGUUUUCAUGGGUAAGACUAGAUCUUAAAACAGAUUGAUUUUUUGAUGACCAGAAACUGAACUGAAUUUGAACAAGUCCCAUUGGGACUGAAUUUUUAGCAUCUCAAAAGUGGUGUUUAAAACCACACUACUCUGACAAUGGGAAACCAAUGAACAUAGUACAGCCACAGGAUCUUUAUAUACUGCAAUGGGUGGAAGUAAAGUUUCCCUAAAAUAAAAUUGAUGUUCCUAUUAUCAAUUAUCCCACAAGGAAGUAAAUCCUGAGACAAGAAAGGAGGGCUUGGGAAAUAUAUGUCAGUUACCGAAGACAAAGAGAACCUCUCCCUUUUCUAGGUGAGGGACUCAUCUUAAUGAGCAAUGAAGCCUCAAUACUGUAACAGCCAGUGCUAGUGACUGGGCAUGGGGUGAGUUGCCCCUAUAAUCAAGAAUAAAGCAAGCACCUGCCUGAUGAGGAACCCCCAAAGGAUUUGGAACAGAGGCGGCAAUUUUCAGAUGUUUUGUAUAAGUUGCACUUCCCUUCUAUUAUCCUCAAACAAUAUGUUUUAAAAUGCUCCAAAUCCUAAAAAUCUGAAAAUGAUUAAAUGUAGUUCCUGGCCUCUCCUUUACUAAGAGAAAUUAAAGAAAAAGGAGACGCCCAACUGCUGGAGUGCACAUGUCUAGUGGAGUUGUUUACCCUUUCCCAAGUCCGAGGUGGCUUUGGCAGCAGCAAUUAUGGUUGGAGAAAACCGUGCCUGCAGUGAUGUUCUCACAGACAGUUCAGUAGAAAAAGGCCAGCUGAAGAGAGAUUCUGGAGCAACCAGCACCUGAGCCAGUGGUGUGGAUGCCCUGCCAUGAGGGCCUGCAGCAGCAUGCAGUGAGAACAUUCGGGAUUUCCUUUUGAGAAUGUCAAGUCAUCACGGACAGCGGCUCAUGAGUCAGACCUCACCCCGUGUAUCAUCGUCAGAACACCAUCCAUGGUGGUUUGGACCAUUACGCAGUUUUAAAUUGUUUUUGUUCUUAUUCAUUGUUUAAUUUAUAUCUGUGGUGGAUCAUUGGUUAAAGACAGGAAGCAAAAGAACACUGAUGUUGAAAUACAAAUUUAUACGAAACAUAAAAGAGAUAAUUCUAUAAAUUCCCUUAAGAGUUUCUUUAACCAAACCUACCAGUUGCAUUGAACUAAUCAAAAUAUUUAUAUAGCACAUCACGCUCUCUCUAGUUCUACUUUUAGAAUGUUGAAAGGGAAACUAUUUUGCCAAUAAUAUGGAAUUUGGGUUUUUUGUCUAAUGGGAUUAAAUAUUAUCCAUAACAAAAUGUUUUAUUUGAGCAUAGGCUAGGAAAAUGACAACUGAAAUCUUUUCUCUGAACCCAUAUUUUAGGAACAAAAAUAUAAAAAUUAUUUCAAUAAAACACUUGUGUUUUUAAAAGUAAAAUCCAAGAAAUCCAAACAUAAAAUAAGCAGUUUUGUUGAUGUCGCCACAAGUAGUUACAUUUAUAUCUAUAUUUUAAUAUAUAUUUGGUCCCCAACUAAAUAUUAUAGAAAUCAUUUUACAUUUCAGAUCUUUCAAUUUUUUAAAACUAAAAAAAAAUUUUAAAUAAAAUUUUAAAAAAUUGAUAGCAAAUGUUACUUGUUAAGUGGGAAAACGUUAAAAUGUAUUUUAUAUAAUAAUUAUUAAGAUUAUAUUUAAACAAUCAAUUAAGACAACCAUGUAAUUUAUCAUCCAAACUAGAACAGUUUUGAGAAUGGAAAGGGCUACUAAUAAUCAUCAUCCCAGGAGAAUAUAUAAAAUCCAGGCCUAUCCUAAGGAAAUGGGACUGUCGGUAAUACUACUAAGAAUAUGAUCUGUAAUAACAUCUUGGCCUUUUCAUAAAUUUUAAAUUAUUUAUUAUGCAACACAUAAGAUGAUGAGAUGAUUUUUACUGUAGAAGGGAUAUAUGCCAGAAAACGAACCUAAACUAGAUUGUGCUAUUUUAAUCCAAUUCCUUCAUUUCACAGAUGAAGAUCAUAAACCUAAAUAUGCUAAAAGGUAUGACCAAGGUAUGACACCUAAGCUAGAAGAAACUUUCAUGCCUUUAAAUUAUAACUACUUGCUUGAUGACAGAUGACCGGGAAAUUAAAA